GCUCGUAGGGCCUGAGCUCGGCUGCGUCGCACCAGGCGAAGGCCUUGUCGCCGAAGUAGGAGACGAGGAGCUGGGCCUCGUGGCCGGUGCUGUUCCCUCCGGCGGAGUAGAUGAGGCCCGGCCAGGCGGCGUGGUUGAGCUUCUUUCCCCAGACCAUGUCGCCCGGAGCGAAGCCGCUGACCAUGGGGGUGUCGGGAUCCGGAGGGCGCGGGUGAGCGGGAGGCGGGGGGUUCUUGCGGGGGCGGCCGCGGCCGCGCUUGGGUGGCGCCAGGGUUUGGGACGUGUUGUUGAGGUCGAUGCGCUCGGACAUGGUGGCGGUGGUAGGGUUAGGGUUUGGGGCUGGGGAUGGAAUCGAUCCGAAUGGAAUGUGGGUGAGGAUGGAAGGGAAGGGAAGGGAAGGGGACGGCACGUGAUGCCUCCUCCCACUGCAGCUGCGCUCUUGCUUUCUGCUCUCCGCACUCCACUCCCGCCUCUCUCUCUCCUCGUUU
rnacentral:misc_RNA from 1 species